rnacentral:rRNA from 1 species
CAGUUCGGAUUGAAGGCUGAAAUUCGCCUUCCAUGAAGCCGGAAUUGCUAGUAAUGGCAGGUCAGCAUACUGCCGUGAAUACGUUCCCGGGCCUUGUACACACCGCCCGUCACACCAUGAGAGUUGGGAAUACCCGAAGCCUGUGAGCUAACUUUUAGAGGCAGCAGUCGAAGGUAGAAUCAAUGAUUGGGGUGAAGUCGUAACAAGGUACC